GGACAGCCAUCGCCGAGUCCCCACCGGGUGCGAGCCCAGGGGAGCCGGGGACCCACCGUCCCCAGGGGUGAAUCGGGCGCCUUCGCACCGCGGAGGGGUCCGUAGGAGACCUUCCUGCUCCGAACCCGUCAGCUAACCCGGUAGGCGAGAAGGAAGGAAAG
rnacentral:sRNA from 2 species